ACACCUGAGACACCUGCCACACCUGCCACACCUGAGACACCUGCCACACCUGCCACACCUGAGACACCUGCCACACCUGAGACACCUGCCACACCUGAGACACCUGCCACACCUGAGACACCUGCCACACCUGAGACACCUGCCACACCUGAGACACCUGCCACACCUGAGACACCUGCCACACCUGAGACACCUGCCACACCUGAGACACCUGCCACACCUGAGACACCUGCCACACCUGAGACACCUGAGACACCUGAGACACCUGCCACACCUGAGACACCUGCCACACCUGCCACACCUGAGACACCUGCCACACCUGCCACACCUGAGACACCUGCCACGUCAAUGAAAUAGUUCCACCAAAGCAGGAUAAACCACUGCGACUCCGAGCAACACAGUAGUGUUUCAUUCCUUGUUGAAGGAAUCGGUUGAGUGAAUGAUUUAUGUGCAGAUGGAGGAUCGCAACAUGCUGCGACGGAUGGAGAAGGAGAGAAGGAGUCAGGGGGUGCAGCAGGAGGAGACGCAGUAUGACAGAAUCGCUCCGCUCUUCAACAAGCCGUAUAAGAGAAUCAAAGAUGAUGAGCUGUCCAGUCUCAUCCAGAGGAUGCUGGGUAAUUAUGAGGAAGGAUAUGACGGACCUGAGGAACUUUGUCCUGCGCUUAAUGAGCAUCCUGCGCACUUCCCUCACGUGGACGAGCAGUUGGGACGCACGGAUCGCUCCAGAGCCGCUUCAGACUCCGGCCCUCCUUCAGGUGAGAGCUGGGACAGUUUACCGGCCCCGGUGGAGCCACUGUCCCCUCUACAGUCCAGUGACUCGGACAGCGGCCCGCCUCCGCUGACUCACGUGCUCCCGCUGAAUUUGCACGGUAAACUGGCCAACGCCAAGAAACCCACAGCAUAUGUGAGGCCGACGGUCGGUCAGGAUCAGGUGACCAGCGGUUCUCCCGAACUGAAGGCCUCAUUGGAGUCUUAUGAGCACUUACAGGACCUGAAGGAGAGCAGCAAACCAAACCUUCCCGCUCUGCAGUCUGCUGAUGUGAGUGUUUAUCCGCAGACGUUAUUACAGUGAGAGCGAAACUGACCCUGUGUGUU
rnacentral:lncRNA from 1 species